CUCAGACAAAAUACUACUUUAUGACCUUUGUCACACAGAGUUUUGCUUUAUGUUAAGGGACAAGCCAGAACAUGCAGUAAUUUGCCUCUGCCUGGUGUUGAAGCCACACAAAUGUCCAUGCUGUUAGCCUUACUCUGGGCUUGUAGGGCUUUUGAAUCCUGGGGUUGGUAAGAUAUGCUAGGGAUGUGAUGAAGAUGAGGUCACCAGUCUCAAGAAGUUGGAGGGAGUUUCUUCAAUGAGACAAGUAUUUUUUGAGCCUUCUUCCUUUUUGACUUUCUUCAGUACUUGGGCAGAGCACACAUGGGAAUAUCCUAGUAUCCCCCUCCCCCGCAUUCCCAGAAUCUGCAGAUUUCUGUCAGGCACAUAACUGAGUCCAGUUUGCAGCUAGUCAAGAUAGGUCAAAUCUAUCUUAUUCCAGAACAGACAUGUGAAAAACUCCAGUCUAUUCAGGGUGAAUUUGGAGACUUUGGCUGGGAUUGUGUGUGUGUGUGUGUGUGUGUGUGUGUGUGUGUAUGUGUGUGUGUGUGUGAGAGAGAGAGAGAGAGAGAGAGAGAGAGAGAGAGAGAGAGAGAGAGAGAGAAGCAUGCAGCCUCAGGUUUCCAUCCGUGGAGCAGAGGUCCAAGCCUUUGUCAAGGUCCUCAUCCUCCUCUUGGGUUGUGAGAAGCUCCCUCUUUUCUUAGAGGUGCUGUGAAGGAAGAAGCUUAGGGCUUAGGAAUCUUCCCCUGCUACAUCACGUGGGAGAAAGGACGGUAACCCACAUGCCCUUCUCACCGAGGGAUGCCACGCUUCUCGUGAUGCCUGUUCUGAACUGCAGAGAGGAGGGCACUCUCAUACAGGCAGAGUUUCCCUACAGGUGUGGCAUCUGUAUACAUGAAUGCAGGUGGCGAUGGAAGCCAGAAGAGUGUUGGAUCCCUUGGAGCUGGAGCUGCAGGUGGUCGUGAACUUUGAAUUCAGCUGGGGUCCUCUGGAAGAACAGUGCAUCAUGUUCCCAACUUCUGAACCUUAUUUCUAGCCCUGGGAUCGGGACUUCCUGGAAAGCAACUUCUGCUGGGCAUUAGGUAGGCCUCCGUCAGUCCUCAAGAAUUCAACCAGGGCUGCACCCAUGUGCUUGCGUAUCACUGCCUGUGUCAUUAGGGAGGCUGCUUAGCCCAGCUGCGGAAGAAUCCUAGUCCUUAGCACCUUUGGUGUGAAGCCCUACUGGGCCAAGUGGGCUCCCGGGGAGCUGUUUCUAGCCAAGUCUCCAUGUGCCUGGUGGGUGGGUGUAGAAACCCGGGUAAGGCUUGGCAGGAGAUCUGCCGUGGGCACUGUUACAACCCAAACAGUCGCCGUGGACAGAGCGCUUCACGCGUCUCUUCCAUAUGCCUGGAAGCUGCAAGAGUCUGUGCAAGCCCUAGAAACGGAGACGUUACAGGAAGUGCCCAGGGCUCACCAGACAGCUUGCUAUGCUGCCUUCCAGGCAUCUGAAAACCACCGAAUAUUUAAACUGCCAUUUAAAUAUUCUCAGGUCGGUCCUCCCACUAUCGGACUGAAAUAAAGAUUUUUGGUCAUCUGAA